rnacentral:rRNA from 1 species
AUGUCCAAAUCUACUCCUGUUAAAGCAAGCAAGAAUUCUGAAUUGAAGAAAUCUACAGCCAUCUUAACAAUAGCAAAUGGCCAUGCUUGUAAGAAGGAUGCAAUUGGUGGAGAGCAUCCUGUCCAUGACAUCAAGUCCACUGGUACUUGGAUCUGUAGAAAUUCUUUCUGCAAGAGGUGCUCAUGUUGUAUUUGCCAUCAGUUUGAUGACAAUAAAGAUCCUAGUCUAUGGUUGGUUUGUGCAUCUGAAAAUGACGACAAACAGUGCUGUGGUUCUUCUUGCCAUAUCGAGUGUGCCCUCCAACAAAAGCGGGUGGGAUGCUUUGAUCUUCAAAAAAUUAUUCAUCUUGAUGGGAGUUAUUCAUGUGCUUCAUGUGGGAAGAUAUCUGGGAUACUAGGUUAUUGGAAAAGGCAAUUAGUGAUUGCAAAGCAGGCUCGCCGAGUUGAUAUACUCUGCCACCGCAUCUAUGUGAGUUAUCAGUUGUUGGAGGGUACGAGCUGUCAUACAGAAUUGCAUAACAUUAUUCAAGAUGCAAAAGCAAAACUUGAAUGUGAGGUCGGUCCACUUGAUGGAAUGUCGGCAAAGAUGGCACGUGGUAUCGUAAGCAGGUUAUCUGGUGGUAGUAAUAUACUGAAACUUUGCUCUCUAGCGAUUCAAAAAGUUGAUGAGUUGUUGAGUUCUCCAUCUCCAGGCUUGCAUGUUCGAGGUUCAUUACCAGCUGCGUGCAGAUUCAAAUUCGAAGAUAUUACAUCGUCUUCCCUUGUUAUCAUCCUAAAAGAAACUAAAUUAGCAUCACCGGACACCAUCAAAGGUUAUAAGCUAUGGUACUGGAAGAGCAGAGAGCAACCAAGCAUGGAUGAACCUGUUAUUUUGUCAAGAGAUGAAAGAAAAAUACUUGUUUAUAACCUCGCCACAUGCACAGAAUAUUCCUUCAGAAUCAUAUCAUUCUCAGAUGCUGAUGCGACCAUUGGGCAUUCCGAGUCUAAAUGUUAUACUGCGAGCAAGGAGGUAUUUGUCAAAUCUGUGACCCAGAAGGCCACGGGAAUAUGCCCGCAGACGCAGACAACGGAUAGGAGCCAGGCUUGUAUGUCCACUGGAUUUAGGAUCCGAGAUGCUGGGAAGAUCUUGCGGCGAGCUUGGGCUGAAGAAGGCUGUUUUGAGGAUAUGUACGAAGGUUCAUGUGACAUAAGUGCCACAGAAGCAGACCAGGCAGAGAACAGUGAACAGGGUCAUAUGUUAUCUGGUGCAUGUCGCAAACUUCAGUUCAAUGCAUUUUCUGUCCCUGACCUAAAUGCACCCAUGCCCAUGGACAUAGACUCUUCCCCUGAGAAGAGCUAUGAUUUAAAUAACAGGCUUUUUAGGUCAAAUGACAGUGGUGGCUCAGAGGCUUGCGAGGCAGUCAGGAGCGCGGAGCCGGCUGCUGUUGAAUCUCGGCCAGGAGGCAAGGCAAAGCAGCCCAAUGGUGCUCAGAAUGAAAGCUGUGAGCAGGAUGGAGUUUCAGCCAUCUGCCGCCAAAAGCAACUUCUGAAAAGGCCUAGAGUUCUGGAUGAGGACUAUGAGUACUGUGUGAAGGUGAUACGGUGGCUGGAGUGUGACGGGCACAUAGAGACUGAUUUCAGAUUGAAGUUUUUGACUUGGCUGAGUCUAAGAUCGACUGAGAAUGAGCAUAGGGUUGUGAACACAUUCAUCAAAACACUAAUCAAAGAACCAAGCAGUCUGGCUGAGCAGCUUGUUGAUUCUUUCGGAGAGAUGAUAAACUGCAAGAGACCAAAAGUAGGUUUCGGCAGUGAGCUAUGGCAUUUGGACAAACAAUAA